rnacentral:rRNA from 1 species
UACGGAAGGUCCGGGCGUUAUCCGGAUUUAUUGGGUUUAAAGGGAGCGUAGGCCGCCUUUUAAGCGUGCUGUGAAAUACCGUUGCCCAACAACGGGGCUGCAGCGCGAACUGGAGGGCUUGAGUUCACGGGAAGCCGGCGGAAUUCGUCGUGUAGCGGUGAAAUGCUUAGAUAUGACGAAGAACUCCGAUUGCGAAGGCAGCCGGCUGUAGUGUUACUGACGCUGAAGCUCGAAAGUGCGGGUAUCGAACAGG